UACAGAGGGUGCGAGCGUUAAUCGGAAUUACUGGGCGUAAAGGGUGCGUAGGUGGUUAAUUAAGUCAGAUGUGAAAUCCCAAGGCUUAACCUUGGAAUGGCAUUUGAUACUGGUUAGCUAGAGUACAGAAGAGGGAAGUGGAAUUUCCGGUGUAGCGGUGAAAUGCGUAGAUAUCGGAAGGAACAUCAGUGGCGAAGGCGAGUCCCUGGAAAACUCCUGACACUGAGGCACGAAAGCUAGGGGAGCAAACAGG
rnacentral:rRNA from 1 species